AACGAACGCUGGCGGCGUGGAUAAGACAUGCAAGUCGAGCGAGAUUUUCCGCUGUAGCAAUACAGUGGAAAGUCUAGCGGCGAACGGGUGCUUAACACGUGGGCAACCUGCCGAGAAGUGGGGGAUAGCUCGCCGAAAGGCGAAUUAAUACCGCAUGUGAUUAGAGUGGACAUCCAUUCGAAAUUAAAGGUGGCGCAAGCUACCGCUUUUUUCGGGGCCCGCGGCCUAUCAGCUAGUUGGGGAGGUAACGGCCCACCAAGGCUUUGACGGGUAGCUGGUCUGAGAGGACGACCAGCCACACUGGGACUGAGACACGGCCCAGACACCUACGGGUGGCAGCAGUCGAGAAUUUUUGACAAUGGGGGAAACCCUGAUCGAGCGACGCCGCGUGGAGGAUGAAGGUCUUCGGAUUGUAAACUCCUGUCAUUGGGGAACAAUGCGUGACGGUUAACUGCCGUCGUGUUGAUAGUACCCGAAGAGGAAGAGACGGCUAACUCUGUGCCAGCAGCCGCGGUAAAAC
rnacentral:rRNA from 1 species